rnacentral:rRNA from 1 species
AUUGCCAUUGGUGUUCGACUAAGCCAUGCAAGUCUUCUGAGAGGAGGCAAACCGCUGAGUAACACGUGGAAAAUCUACCGUUAGGUGGGGUAUAGCCUCGGGAAACUGAGGGUAAUCCGCCAUAGGCUCUGAUUAUUGGAAUAUAUCAAAGCUCAAAGCUUCGGCGCCUAACGAUGAUUCUGCGGCUGAUCAGGUAGUUGGUGGGGUAAUGGCCCACCAAGCCAACGACCAGUAGGGGCUGUGAGAGCAGUAUCCCCCAGACGAGUACUGAGACACUUACUCGAGCCCUACGGGGUGCAGCAGGCGCGAAACCUUUACAAUGCACGCAAGUGUGAUAAGGGAACGCCGAGUGCUCAUGGUUUCCAUGAGCUUUUCUAAAGUGUAAAAAGCUUUAGGAAUAAGAGCUGGGUAAGACAGGUGCCAGCCGCCGCGGUAAUACCUGCAGCUCGAGUGAUCUGGAGUUUUAUUGGGUCUAAAGCGUUCGUAGCCGGACAUGCAAGUCUCCUGUGAAAUCUGCCCGCUUAACGGUCAGACGUGCAGGGGAUACUACAAGUCUAGGGAACGGGAUGGGCUAGAGGUACUCCUGGGGUAGGGGUGAAAUCCGAUAAUCCUGGGGGGACCACCUGUGGCUAAGGCGUCUAGCUAAAACGUGUCCGACGGUGAGGAACGAAAGCCAGGGGAGCAAAUCGGAUUAGAUACCCGAGUAGUCCUGGCCGUAAAUGAUGCAGAUUAGGUGCUGCGAAUCCUUUGUGGGUUUGCAGUGCCGAAGGGAAGCCGUUAAAUCUGCCACCUGGGGAGUACGGUCGCAAGGCUGAAACUUAAAGGAAUUGACGGGGGAGCACCACAAGGGGUGGAGCCUGCGGUUUAAUUGGAUAAUACGCCGGAAAUCUCACCAGGGAAGACAACAGAAUGAAGGUCAGUUUGACGCGCUUACUCGACUCGUUGAGAGGUAGUGCAUGGCCGCCGUCAGUUCGUGCCUUGAGGUGUUCGGUUAAGUCCGACAACGAACAAGACCCAUGUCCUUAGUUGCUAGUUUUAUCUCCGGAUGAAGCGCACUCUAAGGAGACCGCUGGUGAUAAACCAGAGGAGGGAGUGGUCAACGGUAGGUCAGUAUGCUCCGAAUUUCCUGGGCUACACGCGGGCUACAAUGGCUGGGACAAUGAGUUGCCACCCCGAAAGGGGGCGCUAAUCUCUAAACCCAGUCCAAGUUCGGAUUGAGGGUUGUAACUCACCCUCAUGAAGCCGGAAUCCCUAGUAAUCGGGUGUCACUAGCGCCCGGUGAAUACGUCCCUGCUCCUUGUACACACCGCCCGUCAAAUCACCUGAAUUAGACCUGGGUGAGGAUGUAUCUCUUGGUAUAUUCAAACCUUAGUUUAGUAAGGGGGGUU